rnacentral:rRNA from 1 species
CGCUAGUAAUCGCGAAUCAGAAUGUCGCGGUGAAUACGGUUCCCGGGUCUUGUACACACCGCCCGUCACACCAUGGGAGCCGACAACGCCCGAAGUCAGUGACCUAACCGAGAGGGAGGAGCUGCCGAAGGCGGGGUUGGUAACUGGGGUGAAGUCGUAACAAGGUAAC